rnacentral:rRNA from 1 species
UACGGGGGGGGCAAGCGUUGUUCGGAAUUACUGGGCGUAAAGGGCUCGUAGGUGGCCAACUAAGUCAGACGUGAAAUCCCCAGGCUCAACUUGGGAACUGCGUCUGAUACUGGAUGGCUUGAAUUCGGGAGAGGGAUGCAGAAUUCCAGGUGUAGCGGUGAAAUGCGUAGAUAUCUGGAGGAAUACCGGUGGCGAAGGCGGCACCCUGGACCGAGAUUGACACUGAGUGAGCGAAAGCCAGGGGAGCAAACGGG